CAGGACGAACGCUGGCGGCGUGCCUAACACAUGCAAGUCGAGCGAGGAGAUCCUUCGGGAUGAUCCUAGCGGCGGACGGGUGAGUAACACGUGGGCAACCUGCCUCAGUAGAGAGGAAUAGCCUUCCGAAAGGGAGAUUAAUACCUCAUAACAUUGCAGUUUCGCAUGGAACAGCAAUUAAAGGAGCAAUCCGCUAUGAGAUGGGCCCGCGGCGCAUUAGCUAGUUGGUGAGGUAACGGCUCACCAAGGCGACGAUGCGUAGCCGACCUGAGAGGGUGAUCGGCCACAUUGGGACUGAGACACGGCCCAGACUCCUACGGGAGGCAGCAGUGGGGAAUAUUGCACAAUGGGGGAAACCCUGAUGCAGCAACGCCGCGUGAGUGAUGACGGCCUUCGGGUUGUAAAGCUCUGUCUUCAGGGACGAUAAUGACGGUACCUGAGGAGGAAGCCACGGCUAACUACGUGCCAGCCGCCGC
rnacentral:rRNA from 1 species